ACUCAUAUCUCUUCAUCGCUUCAGGGAGUGUGAAUUUUUAUCCAUAAUUUCCAAUGAAGGAAACAGUAGAAUUAACCAACCUCAGAGAUGAAAGUUCAUGAAUCUCAUAAGUAAAUUAAUGCUUUGAUCUUACCAACUUUAGCAGGAUGCAUUCAAAUUGGAGAUUGUCUUUUCUGAGCUCUAUGAUAAAAGAACAUGUUUUGAAGCUGGAAGAUACCCUGCUGCUGCAGAUGUGAAGCCCCCAUUCCCUUUGAGACUCACUCAAAUCUUCCUCAGAGGACAGAGAAGUGCAGAUAACUACACACAGGAGCUUCUUUAGUAUGUGGCAGUUUAUAGCAUUGUUUGCUAUAGAAAGGUGUCAGCAGGCAGCCCCCUCCCUCUACAGUCAUCCAUUGGUUAGGUUUCCUGAUCUUUCUUGUGACUGGGGAAAUUUCAAACACCUUACACACUGAGUGCAAUUUAUUAAUCUAUUUAUUGGGAGAGCAAAGCUCAGCUGGUGUCUAGAAAAAACAGCAGAGACUUGUCUACAAUCAAUGGUUCUGCCAUCAUUAAUAAAGAAAGCAAAUAUUUUUCCUUUUCUUCUCAUUUGCAAUGUGAAUUGAAUUCUAAUUUGGGGAGGUGAUAUUACACCCUGGCUUUUCUCUAAAUCUAGCAAUUCUCCUGGGCCUCCUUUUCAUACAAUGCCAGUGUUUUACACUUCACACUUUGAAAUUGUAGGUGCUAUACGGAGAAGAAACGGAACAUUUUACCUGCCCAAAUACUCCACACUGUAUGUAUUUCAUAAAACACUUGAUGAUUCUGAGGUGAAUGAGACAGCCCAUGCUUAUUUCAAGCUAACGUGCACAAGACCACAAGUAUACCCCCAACUCAAC